AACGAACGCUGGCGGCAUGCCUAACACAUGCAAGUCGAACGAGACCUUCGGGUCUAGUGGCGCACGGGUGCGUAACGCGUGGGAACCUGCCCUUAGGUUCGGAAUAACUCCCCGAAAGGGGUGCUAAUACCGGAUAAUGUCUUCGGACCAAAGAUUUAUCGCCUUUGGAUGGGCCCGCGUUGGAUUAGCUAGUUGGUAGGGUAAAAGCCUACCAAGGCGACGAUCCAUAGCUGGUCUGAGAGGAUGAUCAGCCACACUGGGACUGAGACACGGCCCAGACUCCUACGGGAGGCAGCAGUGGGGAAUAUUGGACAAUGGGCGAAAGCCUGAUCCAGCAAUGCCGCGUGAGUGAUGAAGGCCUUACGGUUGUAAAGCUUUUUUACCCGGGAUGAUAAUGACAGUACCGGGAGAAUAAGCUCCGGCUAACUCCGUG
rnacentral:rRNA from 1 species